rnacentral:rRNA from 1 species
UGGGGGAUAUUGCACAAUGGGCGAAAGCCUGAUGCAGCGACGCCGCGUGGGGGAUGAAGGCCUUCGGGUUGUAAACUUCUUUUGCUCUGAACAAGGCAUGCCUUUGGGGUGUGUUGAGUGUAGGGGUUGAUUAGCGCCGGCUAACUACGUUCCAGCAGCCGCGGUAAUACGUAGGGCGCGAGCGUUGUCCGGAAUUAUUGGGCGUAAAGGGCUUGUAGGUGGCUGGUUGCGUCUGUCGUGAAAGCUCAUGGCUUAACUGUGGGUUUGCGGUGGGUACGGGCUGGCUUGAGUGCAGUAGGGGAGGCUGGAAUUCCUGGUGUAGCGGUGGAAUGCGCAGAUAUCAGGAGGAAUACCGGUGGCGAAGGCGGGUCUCUGGGCUGUUACUGACGCUGAGGAGCGAAAGCGUGGGGAGCGAACAGG